GAGGGUAGAGCUCAAGCAGUAGAGUGCAUGCUUGGCAUGCAUGAGGUCCUGGGUUCAAUCCCCAGUACCUCCU
rfam:Camelus ferus unplaced genomic scaffold scaffold826, whole genome shotgun sequence.